rnacentral:rRNA from 1 species
UACGAAGGGGGCUAGCGUUGUUCGGAUUUACUGGGCGUAAAGCGCACGUAGGCGGAUCGUUAAGUCGGGGGUGAAAUCCUGGAGCUCAACUCCAGAACUGCCUUCGAUACUGGCGAUCUUGAAUCCGGAAGAGGUGAGUGGAACUCCUAGUGUAGAGGUGGAAUUCGUAGAUAUUAGGAAGAACACCAGUGGCGAAGGCGACUUACUGGA